AUUAGUAAUAGUUAAGUUCUUGAAAUUUAAAAGAUUUGGCGGUAUUUUAGACUUUUCAGAGGAACUUGUCCUAUAAUUGAUAAUCCACGAUUAAAAUUACUUUUUUUAUUAGUUUGUAUAUCGUCGUUAUUGAAAAUUUUUUAAAAAUUAUUAAUUUUCAAAGUUUUUAAUUUAAAAAUAAAUCAGAUCAAGAUGUAGUUUAUAAAAAAGUAGAGAUGAGUUACAUUUAAUUAUUUUAUAAAGAUAUUUAUUUUUAAAGUAAAUUGAAUUUGGAUUUGAAAGUAAUUUGAAUAAAUUAAUUUAAAUGAUUUAGCUCUAAAAUAUGUACACAUCGCCCG
rnacentral:rRNA from 1 species